CUUUAUUUCAUGGAAAAAUGUACAUAUUUGAUGGUGUGUUAAUAAUAGCAGUAUAUUUUAUUUAAUUUUGAAUAAAACGACUCCACAGUAGAUUUCAUAAAGCGCACUCAUUAAUAAUAUAGAAGCUACUUUACCUUGUUUCAGCAAAAAGGCUGAAACUGAGACACAGAAACGCAUUUAAGUUAAUAAUCCCAAAAACACGUCAGAAAUGGUACAAGCUUCCAUUAAAUGCUUAAAAAGUUGGAUCUUUCCCACGAAACUCAUCAGUUAUAGCCAAGUCUACUAAUUUUGCCAGAAAAGGCAGUAAAUCAUCAAAGCUAAGUCAUAACCGACGUAUAUUUUAUCAUUAAAAGCCCAAGUUUGACAACUUCCCUGCCUAUGAGUGGAUGCAAACUGUAAACGGUGUUUUCCGUUUGCUCGAUAGACAGGAAUGGUUGCCAAGGAAACAAAAAUAACUCAGUUGGAAGCUAAAUGGCUUUUUAAAGCCGAGCUGUUUUUACUAAAGAGAAUUUAGUUGAAUUAUUGAGCUGAUUUUACAGCAUUAGUUUGUUUUUCUGUUGACCUCCUGUCCGCACUCCAGCUCAGCAGGUGGCGGUAAAGCACCUUCUCCACCGCCAUUAAAGAAGAAGCCGGGCUGUCGCCAUGGUGACGGUUUGACGGUUGAAACUUCACCGAAACGGUUUUUAUUUAGGUGUUUAGCUUGGAAAAAGCAACCAAAUUAUUAUAUCGGAGUAAAGAAAACUAAACUAAAAAACGGGAAUAACUUUCUCCUGCGCUCUUAACUGAACACAAACAUCUCAGAUAAACGGUUAAUCUCAAAAACGUUUCCUUAAAAUGUUUAACUGGGACAAACCGAGCUAUUUUCCCUCUUCUUCUCCUGCCUGAACAUGGCGGACUGAUUGUAUCUCAUUAAAAUGGAGGAACGAUGAGAGCUGCUGGAUUUCUGGAGAUUUCCAGCUUCUUCAUCUUCGGAGCAUGCGCAUUCAGACUUUUAUGUGGAGAGAAGAAGAAGCGGGACUUUUUUCUAAUCGUUUCUACUCUUUACUGAAGACGCCUGCAGACUCGACUCUGCAGCUGCAUGACUUGGUCGCGUAGCUCCAGUUUGUAGCGUUCAGUCACACUUCGACCUCCUGAGCAGCUUCAGGUCGUAAAGCUGGACGUUUCCGGUUCGGUUCCUCUUUAAACCCCCCGGUGAGAACAGAGCCUGUUUGUGUCACUGCUGCAUGAACCUGGACACCUGAACAGGUGCGUCUGUGUGUGAACCAAACCCAGUCAAAGCAUGUUGCUGUACAUUAGACCAACAUCUAUACUCUUCUGUAAAAACAUGAAUAUUUUUGCUUCUAUCUGUCGACCAAACGGGGCUAAACUGUAAACACUGUUUGUUUUGUGUUUGAUGAGUAAAAAUGUGCAUUUCUUUUAAAAUCUGAAGAACGACACGCAUAUAAGUGGCAGUGUAACAGUGUGAGCUGUUACAUGUGUAUCUCUGCAUGUAUUAUUUACCUUCUGUUGGUCAUAUCAGAUGAAAUAAAAGGAGCAGAAGGUUUGAAUCCUGCAGGAUGUUUCAGGUGUAAAAGUAAAGAUCAGUUGAUAGAAAUCA